GGCCGGGCGGUCGAGUGCGCGUGCGCGUCUCCUUUUCCCGCUCUUUUUAACCGCCGCUUCGUCUCUGAGGCGAAAAGAAGCAGGUGGAAGGUGAGGCGUCGUCGAUACGGAGCGGAGCGAGGGGCUUCCCCGGGCUUUGAGGGGGUUCCUCCGUCCGCCGUCACUCGGUUUCCGCUGCUAGGAACGGGCUCUGCGCUUUCCCUUUCCUCUCAGGCGCUCGCAGCUUUCCCGGUUGGCUAGGAUAGGCGGCUGUUCAACAGGGAAAGAGGACAAAGGAGGUCCAGGCAGAAGAAGAACAUCGUGGCUUUAAAAUGUAAGGGACGGGUUUGGAGUAAACUCAGCAGCACUUUUUCAUGCGGCUGUUGACAAAAAUAAGAUUUGCCAGCAUGAUCACCAACAUCCAAUGACGGAUAUGGCACAAGAAGAAGGUACAUACUGUCAAAGUCUUUGAUCGCCAUGGUUAAAUGAAAAAUGAAAUUAUUUUACCAGGGAACUGCAUCAUUAUGAAUUGGAAUCAAGAUGGAGAUACUCUAGCAAUUAUUGUUGAUAAAUCCAGUGCUGUUUAUCUGUGGGAUGCCAAUACAAACAAAACCAGUUUGAUGGAUACUAGCAUGAGGAGAUUAAUUUUGACCAGGCGCCCCAAGAAAAUGUCAGUGCCGAUCGAGGCCACAAAGAAAACAGCACCAGCACAGAAGCAGAUUGACCUGCAAAGCAUGUGCUCUUCUCCUUUGCAUGGAAGAUGGCAGCUGGAAUGGCCCCACUUCCCUUCUCUUGGGACACCCAUACUUUUUAAUAAAAAGUCCUCCUGAGUGGGGAGUUACACUUGCAAAGUGAUAGGUUGGAGGGAGGUGCCUGAAAUGAUUCAAAUCGAGCACUCCUCCCAAGCGUAAGGCUUGAAUACUGACCGCAAGGUAAAGAUAGAGGAGGUGCCUACCUCGCCUAGAGGGAUGUCCUUAGGUUUAUGUGUACACCCAAAACUGACAGGAACACGUAUCUCCCAUCGGGAAGGUUGCUGGAAGCCUGGAUUUAGGCAUGUGAACGCCUGCUUUAGCCGGGAAUGAAAAAGCAAAAUGCACAGGAUUUAUGUAAAAGAAAAUGGACUAAAAUAUGGGAGGAUACUAUAGUAAUUUAAUUCAAUUUGAGAAAACAAAGGUACUUUCAACUGUAAUUAAAGAUAAAAUAAAGAAGCCUUAAAAGAGCUUGAAAAGUUCUUUUGGGAAAAAAAACGCUUUUCUUAAAAAGUUGUUAUUGGGGCUAUGAAUGUUUCUCGUUUAAAUUGAGAUUAUUUUACCAUCAUUAUAUAUGUUGGAUAUUGUAAUGUUUUGUUUAAAGGAAGAAAAGUUAAAAAGGUGAUUUAAUGAUGCUGUUUUGAUGAGCUAUAAGAAUCAUUUACCUAUGUUUACCAGCCAGAGGCUGAGAGGGAGACUCUUUAAUCCCUCUCCUUUCUGCUGCCCUUCUGACCUUUUUGCAACUACUAAACAUUUCUUCCCUCUAAACCUCUUUAUGAAAACUUACUGUUUUUCUAAUCACAGAUGCUAAUUAAGGGGAAGAAAUUGCAAACCCACAAUCCAGGAAAAGCCCGUUUCCUAACUCCAUCAUAUUGAUGGAAUUUUUGUGUUUGUCUUUGUGUUUGUAAAUUGCAUUAUAUGAGAUGAGGGAAAUGUAUGGAUAAACAUAGCUACCACCUUUACAGCUGUGAUUUUCAUAAAUUUAUAUGGUUGUAAGAAAGUGAAUGAUUUAUAGCUCUUUCGUGGAAAAGGGAGUUUAAGAAACAGCUGAGAUGAAAAAGGAAGGGAAAGCUUAUACUGCAUGUGAACAGAAAGAAUAGUUUUAAGAAAUGUGAUUCAGAAGAUCUGAAGCCCGCAUAUGGUGUGUAGCAAAAUUUAAGUGAUUUUGGCAUUUUAAUCUGGAUAUACCCAUAAUAAAGCCUUUGGAACUACAAAGUGAAGACUAGGUGUUGCUAAAUGUGUACUAAGCUUGUUUUCUUUUAAUCAAAUUAGCAGAUAACUAACCAAGUGCCACCCCCUAGAAAAAUCUGCUGGAGUACCCAUUUCUCUGCAGCCUGCUCCUAAAUGCACCUUCUUUGGAUUUGGGGAAUAAAUAUUUCUUCUUUCCUCACA